AUUGAACGCUGGCGGAAUGCUUUACACAUGCAAGUCGAACGGCAGCACGGACUUCGGUCUGGUGGCGAGUGGCGAACGGGUGAGUAAUACAUCGGAACGUGCCCAGUCGUGGGGGAUAACGUAGCGAAAGCUACGCUAAUACCGCAUACGAUCUAAGGAUGAAAGCGGGGGACCGUAAGGCCUCGCGCGAUUGGAGCGGCCGAUGGCAGAUUAGGUAGUUGGUGGGGUAAAGGCCUACCAAGCCGACGAUCUGUAGCUGGUCUGAGAGGACGACCAGCCACACUGGGACUGAGACACGGCCCAGACUCCUACGGGAGGCAGCAGUGGGGAAUUUUGGACAAUGGGCGCAAGCCUGAUCCAGCCAUUCCGCGUGCAGGAUGAAGGCCCUCGGGUUGUAAACUGCUUUUGUACGGAACGAAAAGGCUCUGGUUAAUACCUGGGGCUCAUGACGGUACCGUAAGAAUAAGCACCGGCUAACUACGUGCCAGCCGCCGCGGUAAGAC
rnacentral:rRNA from 1 species